rnacentral:lncRNA from 1 species
GCAAUAUGAUAUUUAAAAGUAAAAAUUGGUUUAAACUAAGAUUUUGUCGUUGAUGACGUCAUGAAUUUUGAAGAUUUAUUGCACUAGUGCAAUAUUAGAAUUUAUUGCACGCUAACGUUUGGUUACUUUCUGUGGGAAAUAUUAUAUUGCUAUACAAUAAUAUAGGGUUAUUGCAUGAAUAUUGGGGAAUAUUGCCCCGAGUAGAAUUUUAUAUUGCACGAGCUUGCGAGUGCAAUAUAUGUUCUACGAGGGACAAUAUUCCCCAAUAUUCAUGCAUUGACCCUUUUAUUGUAUAGCAAUAUAAUAUUUGAAAGUAAAAAUUGGUUUAAACUAAGAUUUUGUCGUUGAGGACGUCAUGAAUUUAAAGAUUUAUUGCACUAGUGCAAUGUUAGAAUUUAUUGCACGCUAACUUUUGGUUACUUUCUGUGGGAAAUAUUAUAUUGCUAUGCAAUAAUUAUAAUAAU